CAGUCGCCGCGGGAAUACGUAGGUGGCAAGCGUUGUCCGGAAUUAUUGGGCGUAAAGGACUCGCAGGCGGUUUCUUAAGUCUGAUGUGAAAGCCCCGGCUCAACCGGGGAGGGUCAUUGGAAACUGGGAAACUUGAGUGCAGAAGAGGAGAGUGGAAUUCCACGUGUAGCGGUGAAAUGCGUAGAGAUGUGGAGGAACACCAGUGGCGAAGGCGACUCUCUGGUCUGUAACUGACGCUGAGGAGCGAAAGCGUGGGGAGCGAACAGGAUUAGAUACCCGAGUAGUCCCUGUCUCUUAUACA
rnacentral:rRNA from 1 species